GGCGAAAAGAACCCCGGAGAGGGGAGUGAAAUAGAACCUGAAACCGUAUGCGUACAAGCAGUGGGAGCCUACUUUGUUAGGUGACUGCGUACCUUUUGUAUAAUGGGUCAGCGACUUAUAUUCAGUGGCGAGCUUAACCGAAUAGGGGAGGCGUAGCGAAAGCGAGUCUUAAUAGGGCGUUUAGUCGCUGGGUAUAGACCCGAAACCGGGCGAUCUAUCCAUGGGCAGGUUGAAGG
rnacentral:rRNA from 1 species